rnacentral:rRNA from 1 species
AGAGUUUGAUCCUGGCUCAGAUUGAACGCUGGCGGCAUGCCUUACACAUGCAAGUCGAACGGCAGCACGGGUGCUUGCACCUGGUGGCGAGUGGCGAACGGGUGAGUAAUAUAUCGGAACGUACCUUAAUCGUGGGGGAUAACGCAGCGAAAGCUGCGCUAAUACCGCAUACGCCCUGAGGGGGAAAGCGGGGGACCGUAAGGCCUCGCGCGAUUAGAGCGGCCGAUAUCUGAUUAGCUUGUUGGUGGGGUAAAAGCCCACCAAGGCGACGAUCAGUAGCUGGUCUGAGAGGACGAUCAGCCACACUGGGACUGAGACACGGCCCAGACUCCUACGGGAGGCAGCAGUGGGGAAUUUUGGACAAUGGGGGCAACCCUGAUCCAGCAAUGCCGCGUGAGUGAAGAAGGCCUUCGGGUUGUAAAGCUCUUUUGUCAGGGAAGAAACAGCAGCUCUAACACAGUCUGCGAAUGACGGUACCUGAAGAAUAAGCACCGGCUAACUACGUGCCAGCAGCCGCGGUAAUACGUAGGGUGCAAGCGUUAAUCGGAAUUACUGGGCGUAAAGCGUGCGCAGGCGGUUAUACAAGACAGGCGUGAAAUCCCCGGG